rnacentral:rRNA from 1 species
GGCUCAGGAUGAACGCUGGCGGCGUGCCUAAUACAUGCAAGUCGAACGCACAGCGAAAGGUGCUUGCACCUUUCAAGUGAGUGGCGAACGGGUGAGUAACACGUGGAUAACCUACCUCAAGGUUGGGGAUAACAUUUGGAAACAGAUGCUAAUACCGAAUAAAACUUAGUAUCGCAUGAUACCAGGUUAAAAGGCGCUACGGCGUCACCUAGAGAUGGAUCCGCGGUGCAUUAGUUAGUUGGUGGGGUAAAGGCUUACCAAGACAAUGAUGCAUAGCCGAGUUGAGAGACUGAUCGGCCACAUUGGGACUGAGACACGGCCCAAACUCCUACGGGAGGCUGCAGUAGGGAAUCUUCCACAAUGGGCGAAAGCCUGAUGGAGCAACGCCGCGUGUGUGAUGAAGGCUUUCGGGUCGUAAAGCACUGUUGUAUGGGAAGAACAGCUAGAGUAGGGAAUGACUUUAGUUUGACGGUACCAUACCAGAAAGGGACGGCUAAAUACGUG